rnacentral:rRNA from 1 species
UACAGAGGGUGCGAGCGUUAAUCGGAAUUACUGAGCGUAAAGCGUGCGUAGACGGUUAUUUAAGUCGGGUGUGAAAGCCCCGGGCUCAACCUGGGAAUUGCAUUCGAGACUGAAUAGCUAGGGUACGGUAGAGGGAAGUGGAAUUUCCGGUGUAGCGGUGAAAUGCGUAGAUAUCGGAAGGAACAUCAGUGGCGAAAGCGACUUCCUGGACCAGUACCGACGUUCAGGCACGAAAGCGUGGGGAGCAAACAGG